rnacentral:rRNA from 1 species
CCUACGGGAGGCAGCAGUGAGGAAUAUUGGUCAAUGGGCGGAAGCCUGAACCAGCCAAGUCGCGUGCAGGAUGACGGCCCUACGGGUUUUAAACUGCUUUUAUACGGGAAUAACGCGCCUUGCGUGUAGGGCUUUGCAUGUACCGUAUGAAUAAGGACCGGCUAAGUCCGUGCCAGCAGACGCGGUACUACUGAAGGUCCGGGCGUUAUCCGGAUUUAUUGGGUUUAAAGGGAGCGGAGGGCGCAUGUCAAGCGUGCUGUGAAAUGUCCGGGCUCAACCCGGGCCUUGAAGCGCGAACUGGCGUGCUUGAGUCCGCGGAAAGCAGGCGGAAUUCGUCGUGUAGCGGUGAAAUGCUUAGAUAUGACGAAGAACCCCGAUGGCGAAGGCAGCUUGCUGCAGCGGAACUGACGCUGAUGCUCGAAAGCGCGGGUAUCGAACAGGAUUAGAUACCCUUGUAGUC